GACGAACCGUGCGAACGUUGUUCGGAAUCACUGGGCUUAAAGGGCGCGUAGGCGGGCUGACAAGUCUGGGGUGAAAUGCCGCGGCUCAACCGUGGAACUGCCUUAGAUACUGUCGGCCUCGAGGAAGGUAGGGGCAUGCGGAACUGUAGGUGGAGCGGUGAAAUGCGUAGAGAUUACUAGGAACACCAAUGGCGAAGGCAG
rnacentral:rRNA from 1 species